GGGUUGUGAGGUUAAGCGACUAAGCGUACACGGUGGAUGCCCUGGCAGUCAGAGGCGAUGAAGGACGUGCUAAUCUGCGAUAAGCGUCGGUAAGGUGAUAUGAACCGUUAUAACCGGCGAUUUCCGAAUGGGGAAACCCAGUGUGUUUCGACACACUAUCAUUAACUGAAUCCAUAGGUUAAUGAGGCGAACCGGGGGAACUGAAACAUCUAAGUACCCCGAGGAAAAGAAAUCAACCGAGAUUCCCCCAGUAGCGGCGAGCGAACGGGGAGCAGCCCAGAGCCUGAAUCAGUGUGUGUGUUAGUGGAAGCGUCUGGAAAGGCGCGCGAUACAGGGUGACAGCCCCGUACACAAAAAUGCACAUAUUGUGAGCUCGAUGAGUAGGGCGGGACACGUGGUAUCCUGUCUGAAUAUGGGGGGACCAUCCUCCAAGGCUAAAUACUCCUGACUGACCGAUAGUGAACCAGUACCGUGAGGGAAAGGCGAAAAGAACCCCGGCGAGGGGAGUGAAAAAGAACCUGAAACCGUGUACGUACAAGCAGUGGGAGCACAGAGCAAUCUGUGUGACUGCGUACCUUUUGUAUAAUGGGUCAGCGACUUAUAUUCUGUAGCAAGGUUAACCGAAUAGGGGAGCCGAAGGGAAACCGAGUCUUAACUGGGCGUUAAGUUGCAGGGUAUAGACCCGAAACCCGGUGAUCUAGCCAUGGGCAGGUUGAAGGUUGGGUAACACUAACUGGAGGACCGAACCGACUAAUGUUGAAAAAUUAGCGGAUGACUUGUGGCUGGGGGUGAAAGGCCAAUCAAACCGGGAGAUAGCUGGUUCUCCCCGAAAGCUAUUUAGGUAGCGCCUCGUGAAUUCAUCUCCGGGGGUAGAGCACUGUUUCGGCAAGGGGGUCAUCCCGACUUACCAACCCGAUGCAAACUGCGAAUACCGGAGAAUGUUAUCACGGGAGACACACGGCGGGUGCUAACGUCCGUCGUGAAGAGGGAAACAACCCAGACCGCCAGCUAAGGUCCCAAAGUCAUGGUUAAGUGGGAAACGAUGUGGGAAGGCCCAGACAGCCAGGAUGUUGGCUUAGAAGCAGCCAUCAUUUAAAGAAAGCGUAAUAGCUCACUGGUCGAGUCGGCCUGCGCGGAAGAUGUAACGGGGCUAAACCAUGCACCGAAGCUGCGGCAGCGACGCUUAUGCGUUGUUGGGUAGGGGAGCGUUCUGUAAGCCUGUGAAGGUGUGCUGUGAGGCAUGCUGGAGGUAUCAGAAGUGCGAAUGCUGACAUAAGUAACGAUAAAGCGGGUGAAAAGCCCGCUCGCCGGAAGACCAAGGGUUCCUGUCCAACGUUAAUCGGGGCAGGGUGAGUCGACCCCUAAGGCGAGGCCGAAAGGCGUAGUCGAUGGGAAACAGGUUAAUAUUCCUGUACUUGGUGUUACUGCGAAGGGGGGACGGAGAAGGCUAUGUUGGCCGGGCGACGGUUGUCCCGGUUUAAGCGUGUAGGCUGGUUUUCCAGGCAAAUCCGGAAAAUCAAGGCUGAGGCGUGAUGACGAGGCACUACGGUGCUGAAGCAACAAAUGCCCUGCUUCCAGGAAAAGCCUCUAAGCAUCAGGUAACAUCAAAUCGUACCCCAAACCGACACAGGUGGUCAGGUAGAGAAUACCAAGGCGCUUGAGAGAACUCGGGUGAAGGAACUAGGCAAAAUGGUGCCGUAACUUCGGGAGAAGGCACGCUGAUAUGUAGGUGAGGUCCCUCGCGGAUGGAGCUGAAAUCAGUCGAAGAUACCAGCUGGCUGCAACUGUUUAUUAAAAACACAGCACUGUGCAAACACGAAAGUGGACGUAUACGGUGUGACGCCUGCCCGGUGCCGGAAGGUUAAUUGAUGGGGUUAGCGGUAACGCGAAGCUCUUGAUCGAAGCCCCGGUAAACGGCGGCCGUAACUAUAACGGUCCUAAGGUAGCGAAAUUCCUUGUCGGGUAAGUUCCGACCUGCACGAAUGGCGUAAUGAUGGCCAGGCUGUCUCCACCCGAGACUCAGUGAAAUUGAACUCGCUGUGAAGAUGCAGUGUACCCGCGGCAAGACGGAAAGACCCCGUGAACCUUUACUAUAGCUUGACACUGAACAUUGAGCCUUGAUGUGUAGGAUAGGUGGGAGGCUUAGAAGUGUGGACGCCAGUCUGCAUGGAGCCGACCUUGAAAUACCACCCUUUAAUGUUUGAUGUUCUAACGUUGACCCGUAAUCCGGGUUGCGGACAGUGUCUGGUGGGUAGUUUGACUGGGGCGGUCUCCUCCUAAAGAGUAACGGAGGAGCACGAAGGUUGGCUAAUCCUGGUCGGACAUCAGGAGGUUAGUGCAAUGGCAUAAGCCAGCUUGACUGCGAGCGUGACGGCGCGAGCAGGUGCGAAAGCAGGUCAUAGUGAUCCGGUGGUUCUGAAUGGAAGGGCCAUCGCUCAACGGAUAAAAGGUACUCCGGGGAUAACAGGCUGAUACCGCCCAAGAGUUCAUAUCGACGGCGGUGUUUGGCACCUCGAUGUCGGCUCAUCACAUCCUGGGGCUGAAGUAGGUCCCAAGGGUAUGGCUGUUCGCCAUUUAAAGUGGUACGCGAGCUGGGUUUAGAACGUCGUGAGACAGUUCGGUCCCUAUCUGCCGUGGGCGCUGGAGAACUGAGGGGGGCUGCUCCUAGUACGAGAGGACCGGAGUGGACGCAUCACUGGUGUUCGGGUUGUCAUGCCAAUGGCACUGCCCGGUAGCUAAAUGCGGAAGAGAUAAGUGCUGAAAGCAUCUAAGCACGAAACUUGCCCCGAGAUGAGUUCUCCCUGACUCCUUGAGAGUCCUGAAGGAACGUUGAAGACGACGACGUUGAUAGGCCGGGUGUGUAAGCGCAGCGAUGCGUUGAGCUAACCGGUACUAAUGAACCGUGAGGCUUAACCUUACAACGCCGAAG
rnacentral:rRNA from 1 species